AGCGAACGCUGGCGGCAGGCCUAACACAUGCAAGUCGCACGAACUCUUCGGAGUUAGUGGCGGACGGGUGAGUAACACGUGGGAACGUGCCCUUUGGUACGGAAUAACUCAGGGAAACUUGAGCUAAUACCGUAUGUGCCCUUCGGGGGAAAGAUUUAUCGCCAUUGGAGCGGCCCGCGUCUGAUUAGCUAGUUGGUGAGGUAACGGCUCACCAAGGCGACGAUCAGUAGCUGGUCUGAGAGGAUGACCAGCCACAUUGGGACUGAGACACGGCCCAAACUCCUACGGGAGGCAGCAGUGGGGAAUCUUGCGCAAUGGGCGAAAGCCUGACGCAGCCAUGCCGCGUGGAUGAUGAAGGUCUUAGGAUUGUAAAAUCCUUUCACCGGUGAAGAUAAUGACUGUAGCCGGAGAAGAAGCCCCGGCUAACUUCGUGCCAGCCGCCGCCGUAAAAC
rnacentral:rRNA from 1 species